rnacentral:rRNA from 1 species
ACAUCCAGAGAAUUUAGCAGAGAUGCUUUAGUGCCUUCGGGAACUCUGAGACAGGUGCUGCAUGGCUGUCGUCAGCUCGUGUUGUGAAAUGUUGGGUUAAGUCCCGNAACGAGCGCAACCCCUAUCCUUUGUUGCCAGCGAUUCGGUCGGGAACUCAAAGGAGACUGCCGGUGAUAAACCGGAGGAAGGUGGGGAUGACGUCAAGUCAUCAUGGCCCUUACGAGUAGGGCUACACACGUACUACAAUGGCGCAUACAAAGAGAAGCGACCUCGCGAGAGCAAGCGGACCUCAUAAAGUGCGUCGUAGUCCGGAUUGGAGUCUGCAACUCGACUCCAUGAAGUCGGAAUCGCUAGUAAUCGUAGAUCAGAAUGCUACGGUGAAUACGUUCCCGGGCCUUGUACACACCGCCCGUCACACCAUGGGAGUGGGUUGCAAAAGAAGUAGAUAGCUUAACCUUCGGGAGGGCGUUUACCACUUUGUGAUUCAUGACUGGGGUGAAGUCGUAACAAGGUAGGCGUAGCGAG